ACCGGCAAGUUCUCCGAGGCACGAGAAGCAACAUGGACAUCACAAUCCAGGCGAAAGACUGGCUAUCAGGCAUCUCGCCUGUGAAGAAGGCAAAGCUGUUUUUCUUCUCCACUCAUGCCAAUGCUCCUAGUUCUACGAGAAGUCGCCAGGAGGUCGAGGAGAUCCAAUUUCCGCUGGCCAGUGCUGUCGCCUUUAAAAAUCUCAGCAAAAUAGAUGAGUCCCUAGAGAAGAAGGCAACGACUUUUUAUCAUCACAAUGCGACCGAAGAAACAAUCUCAGAGACAGAUUAUGAAUAUCUGAGCUUCUUCUCCGCCUGCAAAUAUUUGGAUGUUGUUCCAUCUUUUCUUAGUUUGGAGAAGGUAUCUUCUAUACAAGAUAAAUUUGAAAUGGAGGGUGAAGAGCGAGACUACCGCCUCCUACUGGAUUCUGCCGACAUUGUGCUAGAAAAGGUCUGUAACUCUCUGAAGCCAACAGGAGUGGCUCAGAUUUGGACAGCUCUGAGAAGAGAUUCCUUUCUAGUAAAAGGUAUGAAUAACAUAGAUGUUAUUGGCUUCUUCGUCGAUCUAAACCCAAAAGGGAUGAAAGAGUGCCUAUUCUUCUUCAUAGUUCGUCAUUUGCAAAUGCUAAACAUCAUCAACAGAGUUAGUACAAACAGAUUGGAGCGUUUCAUAGCACAAUGUGAGCAAAACUCUGCUUGCGAAGAGGGGAACACACUUGAUUCUAUUAUAGAGUGCCUGCGUUGCUACCCAGUGGAGUGCUAUCCCUUUGGCUUCUGCCUCAUACUGUCUGUCCACAAGAACCGGGAUGGAGCCAACAAAGAAACUGAUAACGUGCUAGCUAUCUCCAAGCAUCUAGGCAUGAUAUCGCACAAGGCAUUGGAUCCAACGAAGGAGACCAUUGAAAGCUUUAAAAAUGAGUUGAUGAAGCCUAAAUACCGGUUCUACAGCUCCUUCACUUGCUGGUUCAUGGCUCAUGGGGAUGAGGAGUCCAUGGAGUUCGCUGACGGGAAUACCAUUGAAAGAAAAGAGUUUCUUAAGAUGUUCUCCAACAUAGAGUCUUUCCAGCUGAAGCCAAAAGUAUUCUUCAUGGUCUCAUGCCUAGGUACCAAGAGGUUCAAACCUGAAGUUUAUCACAACGAGAAAAUUGGCAGACAAGGGGAUCACUUUUCUAUUGGCAGCCAUCUGCUCAGGAAUAACAUGCUUGACAUACCCGAUGGUGCGCGAAACAUUUCUCAAACACAGCCCUUCGUGGACAUGCUUGUGGCCUACUCAACAAUGCCGGACAACAUUCUGGGCGGAAUACCACUCACGGAUCUAUCUAUGUGGACCGUGCGUGCCUGCUGAUGAGUGAAAACAUCAGCAAAGGGAAAAGCUUCACAGAGAUACUGGAACAUCUGUGCCAAGAAAUGCACGAAAUUCUUCAAGAGGAAGACGAAGAGGGUGGGGUGUACAAGCACGGGUGUCACUUUACUUCCUAUUUCCGGAAGACCCUUAAACUGCCUGUUACACGAUAUAGCAAUUAAGACCUACCUCCCCCACCACCAGCCCCACCCCCCAAGCACACACGCACACACAAUUAGUAUCUAUGCACGAGUCAGUCAGACCCUCCCCUCCCUCCUCAAGUUUCGACACCUAUUCCACGCCGAAUAGACCUAAUCUUGACCCAGUGUUAUUGUUUCACUGGUGAAUCCUGAGCUAAUCAUCUAAUUUAAGCAAAUAAAAGUGAAUCUUGAACGAAUACUUUGGUUCUGAGAGUGAGUAGGCAUCGAAUAUUGGUCAUAAUCCCUAAUCAAGAGUUAAACACCCCAUACAAGAAUUUUCCCAUGAGAAAGUCCUACACACCACCGCCGGACGAUCAAGUUGGCAGCAGCCUAGCCAUGCUGUCCAGCACACGGAUUGCGGUGUUUUAAUGAACCGAUGUCAUGGUUACAAGUUGUAUUUGGACUUUGUAAGACACUCGACUCUUUCUGAAAUUGUGUUGGUUUCGGUCAUGACACUUCUGGCUUACACAAAUUCGCCCUAGCCUGUUGUGCUGUGGUUUUGAAAAAGAAAAAAAUCUCUUCACUGUAGUCAAUUUCUCAUAUAAAGUGGUGAAUCUUCGCCCAACGUAUUCCCAACAUGUAGGAAUCUAAAGUGGAUCUUAAGAGUACAUGAAACAAUGUGAAUGGAGGUGAAUGUUUGAGGAGGGGAUGUUGGAGGUUCCGACCGACGGGUGCAUUAGUCUAAAGGCCCUAGCACACUAUCACUUUUUUCUGUCAAUUUUUGCAUUAUCGUAUGAAAUUUUCGUAUGGAAAGGGACUGACCCUACCACACUACCAAGACAGCAUACACUGCCAAUGUAAACAAACAUAUCGCCAUUGGAGUGAGGUCCCGGGAAUCACACGAGCAUUCUCAUACAUAUCACGUUAUCUUGAGGAAAUAUGAUCAUGUAUAUUGUUUCUAUGAAUGUUAUAAAAUAUUAGCUUAUGCGGAAAUGGUCGCAACCAUCUUGUGAAAAGCCUCAUAUUCAGACGGAAACGCAAAGGCUGACGGAAAAAAUGCUAGUGUGACAGGGCCUUAAGUAGCAUAAGCAUUUAUAGAUUAAACUGCUUAAAUCUCUUAAUCUUACACGGCGUAUUUUACUUAAGAUCUCCAUAUGAUUAAUUGUAUUUAAUUCCCAAAAGUAUAUACACAUCUUGUUUAUCUCUCUCUACUUACCUUGAGUUAUUCUGCUGAUACACUGAGAAAGGGACGGCGACAUUUACACAAAGGCGCUUCCGCAACUGUGUUCUGUCAGGUUGUUUUUCCGAACUCAGAUAUACUACUGUCUAGCUCAGUGUUGUCCAAACUGGGGUCCGCGUACCCCUGGAGUUACGUAGCAUAGAUCAUACAGUACGUGAACAAACAUUAAGCUGUGUAUUUUUAAAGCAUUUUGUUAUUAAAUACUCUUUUUUAUUUGUUUAUUAAAUUCGAAUUUAUUGACUAACACCUGCAAUGCAGUCUUUUCAUAAUUAGUAUAUUAUUUGCAUUGUAAAACAGUUUGUUUAGACAUGGUGGACGGGGAAGGGGGACGUAAAGGUAGAAGGUAAUAAAAUGUUUGGACAACACUGGUCUAGCUAUUUGUGUUUAUCCUUUUCCUUGAUUUUUGUAAAGCUUCUUUGGUAUUAUUUAAUUGUCUUCAAUGUUAUGAAUAGUGUAAUGACAAUCUUAAUAACCAUGAUAUUAAUAAGAAUUAUAACAGUAUUAAUAUUAAUAGUAGUAGAAGGAAAAACACAUAUUCCGCUAUUUCAAGGAAGGAGUACAUCAGGCGCAAUCCCUAGGGACUCCUUGGUGGCUGAGCGUAUGUGGAGCCAUCUGUACGUAACAAAAUUAAAAAAAAAAACGACAGGGAGUAGUACAUACGUCUAUAGUCACUGGGUCAACUGCUGGGUAUUAAAUAUCUUGAUUUGCCCAGAAUUUAAGGUUGUAAUGCUGAAUAUGUGAGUUGAUGUAAAUGUUGAAUCCAUAUAGAACUGUGGUAAGUCAGACAGGUCUUUGCUCUCCUCCUGCAUACAAAAAAAAUGGUAGGAAGAAUUCAUGGCUGACCUAGACACCAUGAUUUGCCAGCCCAAAGAUCGAUUUUUUUUUUUUUUUUUUCCGUGGAUACAAAUGAAUUACUGAAAAGAGACUAUGCCAAAGAAUGAAAUGGAAGCAGGUCAAUAUAUCAAAGAUAUGUGUAGGAAAAGGAAAAUCAUGAGAAAGGAAGGACUGAUGACUUACUCGUCCAAGUAAGAUAUGAUUAUAUCUGUUAUCAUGAAUAUUAUUGCUUUAUAAAAUGUAUUCAAGAUGUAAAGAUAACCUUAGAAAUAAAUUGAUGUAAUAAAAGAA